rnacentral:rRNA from 1 species
AUACGUAGGUGACAAGCGUUAUCCGGAUUUACUGGGCGUAAAGGGCGUGUAGGCGGUCUUGCAAGUCAGAAGUGAAAUUCCUGAGCUCAACUCGGGCGCUGCUUCUGAAACUGCAGGACUUGAGUGCUGGAGGGGAUAGCGGAAUUCCUAGUGGAGCGGUAACAUGCGCAGAUAUUAGGAAGAACACCGGUGGCGAAGGCGGCUAUCUGGACAGAAACUGACGCUGAGGCGCGAAAGCGUGGGGAGCAAACAGGAUUAGAUGCCCUGUUAGUCCACGCCGUAAACGAUGAAUACUAGGUGUAGGGGGUAUCGACGCCCUCUGUGCCGCAGUUAACACAAUAAGUAGUCCGCCUGGGGAGUACGGCCGCAAGGUUGAAACUCAAAGGAAUUGGCGGGG